rnacentral:rRNA from 1 species
UACGGGGGGAGCAAACGGUUGUCCGGAUUUACUGGGCGUAAAGAGCGCGCAGGCGGUUGUUUAAGUCGAAUGUGAAAGCCCCCGGCUCAACUGGGGAGGGUCAUUCGAUACUGAUCGACUUGAAGGCAGGAGAGGGAAGUGGAAUUCCGGGUGUAGUGGUGAAAUGCGUAGAUAUCCGGAGGAACACCAGUGGCGAAGGCGACUUCCUGGCCUGUUCUUGACGCUGAGGCGCGAAAGCUAGGGGAGCAAACGGGG